GCUGGCCUUAGAAGCACAACUUAAAAGAAUAGCUGCCAUGCUUCUGUCUAGCAUGGCAGAGGGAGUAAAAUGGUAUGGGACUGCUUUGGUGCUGGUAAGCACUUCUAUCAAGCAGCAAGGCUGAUUCAAAGCACACUGGUGAAAGAUGAGGAAUCCAGAGAACUGUCCUGCUUGACUGGCCUACAGAAUCAUCACAUCUCCAGCCUAUCAAGCUCAUGUGAGACCAGCUUCACCGUGAGAUGUCUUCUCUGGCUGUCGUGACCAGUAUCUCACUCCGGACCAGUGGUGGAUCUCGUACUCAGGCACAGAGAAUGGGUCCUUCCGCCCCGUGGAUCUCCUCAUCCCCUCAGCCACAGAUUCCCUCCAAGC